UGGGGAAUAUUGCACAAUGGGGGGAACCCUGAUGCAGCGACGCCGCGUGAGCGAAGAAGAUCCUCGGAUUGUAAAGCUCUGUCUUAGGGGACGAUAAUGACGGUACCCUGAGAGGAAGCCACGGCUAACUACGUGCCAGCAGCCGCGGUAAUACGUAGGUGGCAAGCGUUGUCCGGAAUUACUGGGUGUAAAGGGAGCGCAGGCGGGUCGGCAAGUUGGAAGUGAAAAUCAUGGGCUCAACCCAUGACCUGCUUUCAAAACUGUCGGUCUUGAGUGGUGCAGAGGUAGGUGGAAUUCCCAGUGUAGCGGUGGAAUGCGUAGAUAUUGGGAGGAACACCAGUGGCGAAGGCGGCCUACUGGGCACUAACUGACGCUGAGGCUCGAAAGCAU
rnacentral:rRNA from 1 species